rnacentral:rRNA from 1 species
AGUGAACGCUGGCGGUAGGCCUAACACAUGCAAGUCGAACGGCAGCACAGUAAGAGCUUGCUCUUACGGGUGGCGAGUGGCGGACGGGUGAGGAAUACAUCGGAAUCUACUUUUUCGUGGGGGAUAACGUAGGGAAACUUACGCUAAUACCGCAUACGACCUACGGGUGAAAGCAGGGGGUCUUCGGACCUUGCGCGAUUGAAUGAGCCGAUGUCGGAUUAGCUAGUUGGCGGGGUAAAGGCCCACCAAGGCGACGAUCCGUAGCUGGUCUGAGAGGAUGAUCAGCCACACUGGAACUGAGACACGGUCCAGACUCCUACGGGAGGCAGCAGUGGGGAAUAUUGGACAAUGGGCGCAAGCCUGAUCCAGCCAUACCGCGUGGGUGAAGAAGGCCUUCGGGUUGUAAAGCCCUUUUGUUGGGAAAGAAAAGCAGCAGGUUAAUAUCCCGCUGUUCUGACGGUACCCAAAGAAUAAGCACCGGCUAACUUCGUG